rnacentral:lncRNA from 1 species
AAGAACAGGGAGCAGCAAGGAGAAGGCAAGAAGCAGGCUCCCGCUGAGCAGAGAGACUGAUGUGGGGCUCGAUCCCAGGACCCUGGGAUCAUCACCUGAGCUGAAGGCAGAGGCUGAACCAACUGAGCCAUCCAGGUGCCCCUUCUAGGUCCGAUAUUCUAUGACACCCACAGGGACUCUGUCCUCCGGACAUGCAACAGGUUGUGAUGCUAGUCCCCUCUGUCGAUCGCAUUGUGCUGAUUGGACCCGGUG